UACGGAGGGUGCGAGCGUUAAUCGGAAUUACUGGGCGUAAAGGGCGCGUAGGCGGUUUGGUAAGUUGGGUGUGAAAGCCCCGGGCUCAACCUGGGAAUGGCACUUGAUACUGCCUGGCUAGAGUAUGGUAGAGGGAGGCGGAAUUUCCGGUGUAGCGGUGAAAUGCGUAGAUAUCGGAAGGAACACCAGUGGCGAAGGCGGCCUCCUGGACCACUACUGACGCUGAGGUGCGAAAGCGUGGGGAGCAAACAGG
rnacentral:misc_RNA from 1 species